GGUCAAGCAACAAAGGGCGUAUGGUGGAUACCUUGGCGCUGAAAGACGAUGAAGGGCGUAGCAAGUUGCGAUAAGCUUCGGGAAGCCGCUAACAGGCGUUGAUCCGGAGAUUCCCGAAUCGGAAAACCGGUCUCAAGUAGUUUUGAGACAUCUUUGCCUGAAUUCAUAGGGUAGAGAGGAAAACCAGGAGAACUGAAACAUCUUAGUACCCUGAGGAACAGAAAGCAAUUGCGAUUCCCUUAGUAGCGGCGAGCGAAAUGGGAACAGCCUAAACCGGGUGUUACGUUAAAGGGUGUGCCUGUUGUACAUCCGGGGUUGCGGGUUCUGCUUUGGUGGAGGUACACAUCCACCGGAGAGUCAAAAAAGUCGUUUUUAGCUGAAACAGUCUGGAAAGGCUUACCAUAGAUGGUGAUAGUCCAGUAGGCGAAAAAAGCGACUCUCUCUGGAGCAGAUACCCAAGUAAUGCGGGACACGAGGAAUCCUGUAUGAAUCCGGGGGACCAUCUUCCAAGGCUAAAUACUCUUCAGCGACCGAUAGUGAACUAGUACCGUGAGGGAAAGGUGAAAAGUACCCCUGUGAGGGGAGUGAAAUAGUACAUGAAACCAUAUGCCUACAAACAGUGGGAGGCCGAUGUCAUGAUGCUUGCAUUGUGACCGGCUGACUGCGUACCUUUUGCAUAAUGAGCCGUCGAGUUACUAUGCGUAGCAAGGUUAAGCCGUGAGGUGUAGCCGUAGCGAAAGCGAGUCUUAAUAGGGCGUUUAGUUGCGUAGAGUAGACCCGAAGCCAUGUGAUCUACCCAUGGGCAGGGUAAAAGUCGAGUAACAUCGACUGGAGGCCCGAACGAGUUGACGUUGAAAAGUCAUUCGAUGAUCUGUGGGUAGGGGUGAAAGGCCAACCAAACAUGGCUAUAGCUGGUUCUCCCCGAAAUAGUUUUAGGACUAGCCUUGCAUAAUAAAUAGUGGCGGUAGAGCACUGGAUGGACUAGGGGCCCUACCAGGUUACCAAACCCAACCAAUCUUCGAAUUCCAUUAUUCGUAUUGCAGGAGUCAGACUGUGGGGGAUAAGCUCCAUAGUCGAAAGGGAAACAGCCCAGACCGUCAGCUAAGGUCCCAAAAUCUAUGCUCAGUGGGAAACGAUGUGAGAAGGCCCAGACAGCCAGGAGGUUGGCUUAGAAGCAGCCAUCCUUUAAAGAAAGCGUAAUAGCUCACUGGUCGAGUCGGCUCGCGCGGAAGAUUUACCGGGGCUUAAGCUGUAUACCGAAGCCGCGGACAUAAAUAUUUCCUCGGAAAUAUUUAUGUGGUAGGGGAGCGUUCUAUAUUAGGCUGAAGCCGGACCGGCAAGGACCGGUGGACGAAAUAGAAGUGAGGAUGACGGCAUGAGUAACGAUAAAGGGAGUGAAAAACUCCCUCGCCGGAAGACCAAGGGUUCCUGUCCAACGUUAAUCGGGGCAGGGUAAGUCGGCCCCUAAGGCGAGGCCGAAAGGCGUAGUCGAUGGGAAACGGGUUAAUAUUCCCGUACCACCGAAAUAGCAUUUGAGUGAUGGGGUAACGCAGGAGGGUAUACCAGCCGGGCGACGGUCGUCCCGGUUUAAGCCUGUAGUGGGAUCUUUCAGGAAAAUCCGGAGAUCAUUAACCAUGAGAGGUGAUGAAGCGUCAAAUCUUCGGAGGCGACGUAACUGGUAAAUCCCAUGCUGCCUAGAAAAACCUCUAACGAGCUGUUUAGGUGACCGUACCAAAACCAACACAGGUGGGUGAGGAGAGAAUCCUAAGGCGCUUGAGAGAACUCUGGUUAAGGAACUCGGCAAAUUAGCUCCGUAACUUCGGGAGAAGGAGUGCCCCUGGUAGGUGAAGUGACUUGCUCAUGGAGCUGAAGGGGGUUGCAAUAAAAUGGCGGCUGCGACUGUUUACUAAAAACAUAGGACUCUGCUAACUCGAAAGAGGAUGUAUAGGGUCUGACGCCUGCCCGGUGCCGGAAGGUUAAAAGGAGGAGUUAGCCCUCGGGCGAAGCUCUGAUUUGAAGCCCCGGUAAACGGCGGCCGUAACUAUAACGGUCCUAAGGUAGCGAAAUUCCUUGUCGGGUAAGUUCCGACCUGCACGAAUGGCGAAACGCUGGCCGCACUGUCUCGACCAGGGACUCAGUGAAAUUGUAAUACCGGUGAAGAUGCCGGUUACCCGCGACAGGACGGAAAGACCCCGUGCACCUUUACUAUAACCUGAUAAUGGAUUUUGGAGUAGUAUGUGUAGGAUAGGUGGGAGACUUUGAAGCUUCGGCGCUAGCCGGGGUGGAGUCAACCUUGAAAUACCACCCUUAUUAGUUUGAGGUUCUAACCUCGGACCGUGAACCCGGUUCAGGGACAUUGUCAGGCGGGUAGUUUGACUGGGGCGGUCGCCUCCAAAAAUGUAACGGAGGCGCGCGAAGGUUCUCUCAGGCUGAUUGGAAACCAGCCGUCGAGUGUAAAGGCAUAAGAGAGCUUGACUGCGAGACUGACAAGUCGAGCAGGUGGGAAACCAGGUCUUAGUGAUCCGGCGGUUCUGAAUGGAAGGGCCGUCGCUCAACGGAUAAAAGGUACGCCGGGGAUAACAGGCUUAUCGCCCCCAAGAGUCCAUAUCGACGGGGCGGUUUGGCACCUCGAUGUCGGCUCACCGCAUCCUGGGGCUGAAGCAGGUCCCAAGGGUUGGUCUGUUCGCCCAUUAAAGCGGUACGCGAGCUGGGUUUAGAACGUCGUGAGACAGUUCGGUCCCUAUCCUUCGUGGGUGUUGGAAAUUUGAGGAGAUCUGCUCCUAGUACGAGAGGACCGGAGUGGACGAACCUCUGGUUUUCCGGUUGUGAUGCCAAUUGCAUCGCCGGGUAGCUAUGUUCGGAAAGGAUAACCGCUGAAAGCAUCUAAGCGGGAAGCCAACUCCAAAACUAGAUUUCCCUUCCUCCUUCGGGAGGACCGUAGACCCCUUGUAGACUACAAGGUUGAUAGGCCAGAUGUGUAAGCACAGCAAUGUGUUCAGCUAACUGGUACUAAUUGGUCGCGAGGCUUGAUCUU
rnacentral:rRNA from 1 species